GAAGUUACAUGCAUUUUGAGGUUUUAGGAGUUUAAACUGACACCCUUUUGUUUUCUUUUGUAUUGAUUUUUGGGGAUGGAUUUGCCAUUGCAGCUGGAGGUAACCAAAUUUACAUCUUCUUCUUUUUUGGUUAUACACAGGUUUGGGUAUAUGCUUUAGGUUAUAUAUAUAUAUAUAUAUAAAAUUCUUUAAGUGGAAGUUUUGAUUGGGUGAUACUAAAGGACCUGCCAAGGCUAGCGAUGGAUUUGGCAAAAAGGAUGUGAUCGCAGUGUAGCCUGGCCCUAGCAACUAGAUUGCUCAUCAGGGUUCUUUUACUCAAGGAAUGAGCUAUAUGCAUUCUCAGGUAAACAUUUCUUCUCAAUAUCACUUGCUUACUGAAAAUAUAAAUCUUGAAAUUGGAUAUUGUAAUGCUAUUUAGUGGCAUUUUUGUAUGGAUGCAAACCUUUUUUUCUUCGAAGGGCAUAAAGACUUGAUUUUGUAGGAAGCCAAAUCCUUGGAGAAAGAUUCUAUUUGUCACCUUUGGGCAUGGGAAAUGUGAUUCUGUUGAAUCCAUAAAAUUUGUUUAGAUACUGGGAAAGAAUUGAAAGGAAUUCUAUGGUGUAGGUACCUAUUUAUAAAAAAAAAUUCAAAGAAGUGACAGUUGGGAAGGAAUCCAUUUGCUUGGAAUUUCCAAUCGAACCAAGGAUAUUUUUUUAGCUUUCAUGUAAUCUUUCUUGUUUUUAACAAAAUGAUUAACGGAUGACAUUCUCUUCUAUCUGCAACUCAUAUAGAGCUUUGGAAUGACAGACAUUAAAGAAACAUUCUCUUACUCCCAUCUUCCUUUGUAAUGCAGGUUAACUCCAUUAUACAAGUAAGUAUGCUACUCGCCGAAGUUUGAAUUAGGUUCCUUUCUCUAAAUUUUUUUCCUUGAUUUUUAAGAGUAUAGUGAAUGAGUAACUUCUUCCAAGAAUAGCAAAGCAGCUGGAAACAUCUGAACCCCUGUUCUCUAUCUGAUAUUUAACUUCUUUAUAAAGUAACUACCUUUUUUAUUAUUUAUGUGCUCUAACAUUUGACAUUUGUGUAUUUAAGAUAAAGAUGGUCUGUACAAGGUUUCUAAGUCUCUUACCUGGAUACACUCAGAUAUUAUGGAUGAUCAUGUACACAUGGAGCCAUGUGUGCCAACUCAUUGCUUGGAUGAGAAUGGCUUAGAUGCUAGCUUGACAACUAAUGCUACAGUGAAUGGCUGUAAUGGUGAUGAAAACAAAGGAAGUGGAAUCCUAGCAUCCAUUGCACCUGCAUUUCCAUUUUGAAAACGUGUUGAUCAGAACAGCUGGUGCUUUUGUUCCACCACUGAAAUUUUGCCCUUUGUUUUGGCUAUAACCUUUCAGUUCUAACAUUCCUCUGAUUUUGCAAACUCCAACCAUCCUAGAAAUUUUCUAGGUUCUCAACCCAUACCUUGAAGAUUCCUUCACUUAUAAGGAGGGACUAGAUAGGUUGUGUGGCUAGCGUCGUUGCUCUAGUUCUUUUACUACCUUUAAUUUGAUGACUGGAUGCUUGUGGAAUAUACAUGCAUGCAUAUAAUGUAUGUAUGUAUGUAUGAAUGAAUGAAUGAAUGUGUGUGUGAGUGUGUUAAAAAACAAUCGGAGGUAGUCUCAUGGACAGUUUUACCUAGACACUUCUGCCUUCUGGGUGUUUUUCCCUUGCUGACACACUCCUGGUUGCUACAUGACACUUUAAAGAUUGGUACUAAUAAAUGUCUUAAUGAUGUCAUUGGAAAGUGCUGAUCCAAGCCAUGUUGUGGUUAUGAUAUUCUUAGUGUAUUAGUAGAUGCAACUCCAAGCCAUGAGUUUUAGUGGUUCAUCUCUGCUUGCUUGAA